AUGGCCUCCAAACAGACGGCGCCGAUUAUGAAUCAAGGACAAGGGGAAACUAGCUAUGCUCACAACUCUAGUAUCCAGAACGCUGAGCAGAACAAGAUGAAAUCCCUGAUUGAAGGGGUUAUCGUUGAAUUAUGCAGCAACGCCGGCACCUUGCAGCCCAGGAAGAUAGUAAUCGCGGACUUGGGCUGCUCCAGUGGUCCAAACGCGCUUGCACUGGUAUCGAUUGCUGUCAACGCGAUCCACGCUCACUAUCUUCAGUUCCAGCAACCAUCACCAGAAGUGUCUGUGCUCCUCAACGAUCUUCCUGAGAACGACUUCAACACGGUGGUGAAGAGCCUAGUCACUCUACGUCAAAGCAACAAUCCUGUUGUUCUUACUGGUAUCACACCAGGGUCGUUUUACGAGCGGCUCUUCACUAGUGAAUCUGUGCAUCUUAUUUGCUCGUCCAAUACUUACAUUGGCUCUCAAAGGCUCCAGAAGAUCUAA
rnacentral:rRNA from 1 species